AAAAUAUAAAAGAUCAAACUACCUAAAUGAAAAAUUUGAAAGUAAAAGCUACGAAUGUGACUAUAGAGUCUUUAGGUGUCCCAUUCGUCGUCCUCCUGCGGAACCGGCUCGGGAACGAUGUCCUCUUGAUCUGAAAUGAUUAAAUAAGGAAUGAGCUACACUAGCCCAGUAAAGACAUCACGAUAUCUCACCGUCACGGAGGUAAAGGUGGGUAGAAAACACAAAAAGACCAAUGGAGCAUAAUUUACAACAAAUCCUUUUAUCGAUAAUAAAACAUUUACCAUUCACUUACCUCGGUGAAAUUUAUAAAACAAUAUACGAAAGCAAUAACAUCAUCAUCAUCAUGAAACUAUAUAUAUAUAAACUGUAUAACAUAAUACCUAUCAAGUUUUUCGUAAUUCAAUCGUUACACAACAUAUUUUUCCUUAUUUACCAGCCCACUAGUAUCCAUGGGGAUCCAUAGGGGUCCCGCUACCUGUUAACCCUUAACACUUGAAAUCAUAUUCCAGGGCCGUCCCCAUACCCCGUCC
rnacentral:lncRNA from 1 species